rnacentral:rRNA from 1 species
UACGGAGGGUCCGAGCGUUGUCCGGAUUUAUUGGGCGUAAAGAGCGUGUAGGCGGCCUGACAAGUCUGCUGUGAAAACUCGAGGCUCAACCUCGAGAUGUCGGCGGAAACUGUCUGGCUAGAGUCCGGAAGAGGAGAGUGGAAUUCCUGGUGUAGCGGUGAAAUGCGCAGAUAUCAGGAAGAACACCUAUGGCGAAGGCAGCUCUCUGGGACGGUACUGACGCUGAGACGCGAAAGCGUGGGGAGCGAACAGG